rnacentral:rRNA from 1 species
GGUACUACAUGUACAGGAUAGGUGGGAGGCUUUGAAACCAGGACGCCAGUUUUGGCGGAGCCAUCCUUGGGAUACCACCCUUGUAGUACUGGGACUCUAACCAUAGGCCAUGAAUCUGGUCUUGGGACACUGUCAGGUGGGCAGUUUGACUGGGGCGGUCGCCUCCCAAAAGGUAACGGAGGCGCUCAAAGGUUCUCUCAGUACGGUCGGAAAUCGUACGUAGAGUGUAAAGGCAAAAGAGAGCUUGAUUGCAAGACAUACAGGUCGAGCAAGGAUGAAAAUCGGACUUAGUGAUCC